rnacentral:rRNA from 1 species
AUGGUCGAAGGCUCGGAGUCGGACAUCUCCAACAUCAAGUUCCUCCUCCUCUGUUUCCAACAAAUGUCAGGCCUCAAGAUCAACUUCGACAAGAGCGACGUGAUGGUGAUGGGCCACUCUCCGGAGGAUUGCGUGAGCAUUGCCAACCGUCUGAACUGUCGCUUAGGCUCUUUCCCCACGACCUACUUGGGGACGCCUAUUAGUGACUCUAGGCUUACUGUCGCGGACUUGCGCCCGACCGUGGCCAAGUUCCAAACUCGCAUUGAGCCUUGGCAGGGUAGGUGGCUUUCGAAGACGGCCCGGACGAUCCUCAUUAACUCAUCCCUCGUCAGCCUCCUCUUGUUCCUCAUGAGCUUCUACAGCCUCCACGAGACUUUACACCACGAGAUCGCCAAAGUCCAGUCUCGUUUCUACUGGGCAGGCGAUAAUAAUAAGCAGAAAUACCACAUGGUUAGCUGGCCGGACAUCUGCAAGCCUCGGGAGCAAGGAGGGCUCGACAUCAUGUGUUCUAAACGCAUGAACAUUGCACUAUCCCGCUGGCUCUGGCGCAUCUCGCAGGGACAGGGAGGCCUCUGGCUU